GACUGCAGUCUGCAACUCGACUGCACGAAGCUGGAAUCGCUAGUAAUCGCGGAUCAGCACGCCGCGGUGAAUACGUUCCCGGGCCUUGUACACACCGCCCGUCACACCAUGGGAGUCGGUAACACCCAAAGUUGGUAGUCUAACCGCAAGGAGGACGCCGCCUAAGGUGGGAUUGAUGACUGGGGUGAAGUCGUAACAAGGUAGC
rnacentral:rRNA from 1 species